UACGAAGGGGGCUAGCGUUGUUCGGAAUCACUGGGCGUAAAGCGCACGUAGGCGGAUUUUUAAGUCAGGGGUGAAAUCCCGAGGCUCAACCUCGGAACUGCCUUUGAUACUGGAGAUCUUGAGUCCGGAAGAGGUAAGUGGAACUGCGAGUGUAGAGGUGAAAUUCGUAGAUAUUCGCAAGAACACCAGUGGCGAAGGCGGCUUACUGGUCCGGAACUGACGCUGUGGCGCGAAAGCUAGGGGAGCAAACGGG
rnacentral:rRNA from 1 species